CCUAACUACACCAUUUCACUACAAGAAAACCACGAUCCAGAGUCGGUGUCUUGGUGUCCGUUUUAAAAAUCGACUCUACAUCUAGCAAUUAUCAGCUCCCCUUUAAAGUUGCAAUCGGCGCAUGGAACUUGGUUCACAACAAUUGGCGCUAAUGUUCAUCUCUGUCGGGAUCGGUUCGUUUAGUAUUUUAAGGUUUCAAAAAAAAAAUUGGUUGAACGCUGAUCAACAAUCUUCCAUGGCUGAACGUGCCACCUCUGAAACUCGCCUCAACAUCUCUGUUGCACCUCCAUUGCAAAUCUCCAAAGGGUUUUGUUUCUGCUUCGUGUACGGAUUGGGGAGGUAAGUGAGAUCUCUUUGAGAUGGUAUGCUCCAAUAGCACUGAGGCAAACAUUUCAAUUCCUGUUAUGAUGAUAACAAAGUUAGAAGGAGAAAAUCUCAACAAAUCUUUGGCAUGUGGAAGGAGAGGGGUGGAGGAUUUAUAUCAUUAGAGAAUCUCAUCUUUUUUGCACUAAAAUAUCCAGUAACACUACGCCAAAUUCGGCUUUUGCUGGCGAUUGGAUAGGGGCGAUUAACCAAAACGCCACCAAGUGAGUUACUUGAAGCAUAACAAAGUCGAUAUUAGCAACUGAUGUCAAAAUCAUUGACAGUCAAUAUUACUGGAAGCUGCGCCGGCGGCAUUGAUGACAGAGGAGUUGAAGUUGCCAGAUCUUUCUAUUUGGCUACCGGAGAGAGGAAGAGUAUUGUUGAGGGAUGCAGAAUCGGCGUUGAGAUUGAGAUCCAACAUUUGGUACGGAUGAUACCAUAUAAGACAAAGCGAGGGGAAGCUGCUCUUGCUCGUUUGAAGGUUUAUGAGGGAAUCCCUCCUCCAUAUGACAAGAUGAAAAGGGUGGUUGUCCCUGAUGCUCUCAAGUAAGUUUUGCUUCAGAAAGGACACAAGCACUGCUUGCUCUGUAGAUUGUCAUCUGAGGUUGGAUGCAACUACUAUGAUACCAUUAGGAUGAAGCUGCACAGUUGAAAGAGUGAGAAUCAAUAAUACCGUUGUUACUUCUAGGAUUAAGCCACUCCAUUCUUGUUGGUGAUGAAUGUCAACUACCUUCCAUGGUUAGAAGUAAUGUUUCUUAUGAGGCUGGUUUUGGGAGAAGCUUAUUUGAGAGGCUGAGCUCAUUGGAUCACCCAAAGUAGGGGUGUUCAUUAACCGAUCCAAACCGAUUCAAACCGCGGUGACCGAACCAAAAAACCGAUAACCGAAUAAACCGAAAAAUUGAAAAUCGAAAAAAAACCGCAAAUUUUAAUUGAGUUUUUCCCCAAUCAUAGCCCAAACCGAUCCAAUAUAUUAAUUUUCCUCUACCUACUUGGGCUUUGCCUUAAUCAUAGCCCAAAAAUUUUUAAACCCAAGACAUGUUAACCCAUCAACUACACCCAAGAAAAAAUUUAAUCACAUCUCAUCAACAAAAUUUCAUCUGUGUUGAGAUAAUCGUUUAAUGAAGCUUUUGUAUUUCAAAAAAUAAUAAUUUACAAAGUCAAUAUAUACAAAAGAUGUUGUUUAUAUAAUAAUCAUGGAACAAAUUUUAAGAUUUUUAAAAAACCGAAAACCGAUCCAAUCCAAACCAAAAAAAAUUGGAUUGGAUCGGAUCGAAUUUGAAAAAAAAUUCAAACCGAAUGGAUGAUUAAAUGAUCAAACCGAAGGUAUUGGAUCAGAUGAUUUUUGCUUCCAAAACUGAUCCAAUCCAGACCGCGAACACCCCUAACCCAAAGAACUUUCUCAACAUGCAGCAUAUAAUGCACCCAGAAAUAAGUUUAUUUUCAAAUUCGUUUUUCUAUUUUAACAAAAUUCAGGAUGCACCAAAUGUUCAAAGAAAUAAUUACAGGAAGCAAUAUCUUCCACAACCAAUGCUUUGUCCAUAUUCUUUUAUAAAUGUAAUUGGGGGAAGAGAACAAUUUGAUAAUGCUGGACGAAGCUAUAAGAAUAUGGCUGAGGUAGCAGUUGUCAUCACAAUACUGAAGAAUCAAACAAGGCAUUGCUUUACCCGAUACAUUGAAUAUCAUCGGUGUGUAGCUGCAAAAGGAGAAGGUGCACCAGAAUGUGAUAAGUUUGCUAAACAAAAAUUAAAUAUUGGAAAUUUAUUUGCUUUAAUUAUUUACUUGGAAAAGUAAAUAAAUUGCUAGCCAGAGGUGGCAACAAAGUUCAGCAAUUCCAUUGGACUUAGAAAUCUUGUAUUUUAAUAAUCCCCAUUAUAGAAUCUUGUAAAGGAUAUAUAUCAUUCUUUGAACUUCGAGUUGCGUUACAGUAGUGCUUAAUAA